AACGAACGCUGGCGGCGUGGAUAAGACAUGCAAGUCGAACGGGGUUGUUUGUGUAGCAAUACAUCGACAACCUAGUGGCGAACGGGUGCGUAACACGUGAGCAAUCUGCCGGGAAGUGGGGGAUAGCUCGCCGAAAGGCGAAUUAAUACCGCAUGUGGCCAGAGGGGACAUCCCUUCGACGCCAAAGUCGCAAGACGCUUCCUGAUGAGCUCGCGGCCUAUCAGCUUGUUGGUGAGGUAACGGCUCACCAAGGCUAUGACGGGUAGCUGGUCUGAGAGGACGACCAGCCACACUGGGACUGAGACACGGUCCAGACACCUACGGGUGGCAGCAGUCGAGAAUUUUUCACAAUGGGGGCAACCCUGAUGGAGCGACGCCGCGUGGAGGAUGAAGGUCUUCGGAUUGUAAACUCCUGUCAUGGGGGACUAAUGGUCGGGCUCAUACCCCGAUUUGAAUUAACCCCAAGAGGAAGCAGUGGCUAACUCUGUGC
rnacentral:rRNA from 1 species